rnacentral:rRNA from 1 species
UACAGAGGUGGCAAGCGUUGUUCGGAUUUAUUGGGCGUAAAGAGCGUGUAGGCGGCCAGGUAGGUCUGCUGUGAAAACUCGAGGCUUAACCUCGAGCUGUCGGCGGAAAACCAUCUGGCUAGAGUCCGGAAGAGGAGAAUGGAAUUCCCGGUGUAGCGGUGAAAUGCGCAGAUAUCGGGAAGAACACCCGUGGCGAAGGCGGGUAGCUGGGCCGACACUGACGCUGAUGCGCGAAAGCCAGGGGAGCGAACGGG